rnacentral:rRNA from 1 species
CUCGUAGGUGGUUUGUUACGUCGGUUGUGAAAUUCAGGGGCUCCAACCCCUGACUUGCAGCCGAUACGGGCAAGCUAGAGUUUGGUAGGGGAGACUGGAAUUCCUGGUGUAGCGGUGGAAUGCGCAGAUAUCAGGAGGAACACCGAUGGCGAAGGCAGGUCUCUGGGCCAAUACUGACACUGAGGAGCGAAAGCGUGGGGAGCGAACA